GUACAAGAGUGUUAACCCCUUCCCUCUGUCCUCUGCAGGGCGAGAAGGGAGACCGCGGUGAGGCAGUGAGUGUUUUGGUGACACCCCGCCACCAGCUGGUGGCUCUGGGGGGUUUGCAUCUUCCAAACCAUGGCAGCUCACAGAGGAUGCUCACUACUGGCUUUGUCUCUGCAGGGACUGCAAGGACGUAUGGGACCACCAGGUCUCCCUGGACAGCCGGGUCGCCACGGGCUUCCUGGCCCCCCAGGACCACCAGGGCCACGGGGUCCACCAGGAGAGAGUGCUGAGAGUCCAGGCAAGAAGGGGGACAGGGGAUUUCCUGGAGCUGAUGGGACACCAGGAAGCCCUGGACGCCCUGGGAAUCCUGGUUCACCUGGGCAGCCAGGCAUCCAGGGCAUCCCUGGUCCUCGAGGGGAUCCUGUGAGUAUGGCCCCAGCUCUCCCUGACCCUUCUCACACCCAACACCCCCUCUCAUUCCCAUCUUUCCUUCCCAGGGGACACGGGGGCCGGUGGGACUUACUGGCCCAAAGGGGGA
rnacentral:lncRNA from 1 species